GCGUCCACACCUAGGGGCAGUCCAGCUACGCCGUGGAUGACGCCGAAGGACUUGACGUGAUCGCGAGGCUCCAACGAAAGAGUUUGCAAGAAGGGACCACGGAGCGGCCGCCUACGAGAGUCCGCUGCGUACCUGGUCGGCAGCUGUCCCAGCGUGUGCCUGUCGGUCAACCAGCUCUUCUCCAACGUUCGCUGCGUUCGGAGCAUCUCAGGCCAUCACCCGGUGGACCUCGACAAGUCAUGCACGGCCAGCGCAGCCCA
rnacentral:misc_RNA from 1 species